rnacentral:rRNA from 1 species
AGCCCUAGCACAGGUGCUGCAUGGCCGUCGUCAGCUCGUGCCGUGAGGUGUUCGGGUUAAGUCCCGCAACGAGCGCAACCCCCGCCGUUAGUUGCCAGCGGUUCGGCCGGGCACUCUAACGGGACUGCCCGCGAAAGCGGGAGGAAGGAGGGGACGACGUCUGGUCAGCAUGGCCCUUACGGCCUGGGCGACACACGUGCUACAAUGCCCACUACAAAGCGAUGCCACCCGGCAACGGGGAGCUAAUCGCAAAAAGGUGGGCCCAGUUCGGAUUGGGGUCUGCAACCCGACCCCAUGAAGCCGGAAUCGCUAGUAAUCGCGGAUCAGCAUGCCGCGGUGAAUACGUUCCCGGGCCUU